CUCUGGUCCAUUCCUGACGCUCAGGGACGAAAGCUAGGGGAGCGAACAGGAUUAGAUACCCUGGUAGUCCUAGCUGUAAACGAUGGGCACUAGAUGCUCGUUCUUUUGAAUGGGUGUCGUAGUUAACGCGUUAAGUGCCCCACCUGGGGACUACGGUCGCAAGACUAAAACUCAAAGGAAUUGACGGGGGCCUGCACAAGCGGUGGAACACGUGGUUUAAUUCGAUGCUACGCGAGGAACCUUACCAGGGCUUGACAUGCUGGAAGUAGCCACCCGAAAGGAUUGGCCACCUGUAACCAAUCAGGAACCAGUGCAGGUGCUGCAUGGCUGUCGUCAGCUCGUGCCGUGAGGUGUUCCCUUAAGUGGGAAAACGAGCGCAACCCUCGUCCUUAGUUGCCACCUUCGAGUAAUCGGAGCGCACUCUAAGGAGACUGCCCGCGUUAAGUGGGAGGAAGGUGAGGAUGACGUCAAGUCCGCAUGGCCCUUAUGCCCUGGGCUACACACGUGUUACAAUGGCGCAUACAAUGGGGGGCUAAGCCGCAAGGUGGAGCAAAUCCUAUAAAGUGUGCCUCAGUUCGGAUUGAGGGCUGCAAUUCGCCCUCAUGAAGCUGGAAUCGCGUAGUAAUGGCGCAUCAGCACGG
rnacentral:rRNA from 1 species